rnacentral:lncRNA from 1 species
UCAAUUGCGUUCCAGCAGCACCACUGAUAUGUUAUCUUCACGUUUCUUAAUGGAUACAUAAAAUGUCUUUCUUUUGCCACAUGACUAUAAAUCUAUGAAAAAACAAUAACAAUGAAACAACUGAAAUAAAAGUGGUAAAACAAUUACUUUAGUAUUUCUACACAUGGUCUCAUUUCUUAACUCUAUUUGUGCGACCUUGUUGUUUCUUCGUCUUCAUAUAAUGUUUAAUAGUAUUACAUUCUAAAUUCGAAAACACUAUUUUGAGUCAAAUUUAAGUUAGAGUAUUAAAUCUGAAGAUAAAUAUAAAUAGUUCUGAAUGAAAAUAAGUUUAGAUAUAUUUAUGUUUUAGCUUUCCAUAGGUUAUUAUCAAAAAGAAAUUUAACUUCUUAUUAAUAUAUCAUAACAAAUCCAUAAAAGAUAGUGAAAUUUUUAUUUAGAUAGUGACAAACUAUAAAACAUAAAAUAUGCAAUUUCUUUGUACUUAUAAAGGAUAUAAUAAAUUUGUUUGUCAAAAUAAAAUAAAUGGGAUUAAUUUCAUAACUUGGUGAUAUACAAAUUUAAAUCACAUGACAUUUGUUCCGUUUUUGUUUUCUAUGUACAUGUUACAGAACUAAUUAGCUUUAUCAUCCACACUAUUAUAAACUUACUUCUUCUACUAAAAACCCAUAAAUUAUACAUAAUGUACCAAGGAAAAUAUAACAACUUUCAUUAUCCAUAAGCUUACUUGAACAAUUGACCUUAAUCAUGUUCGGUAGUUCCCACCACAGCACCAAAAACUAUAUUCACGUUCCUCAGUGGUAAUAUGGCCCAGGUUUUCUUUUUCUCUAUAACCAUUAUAAACAUAAGUUUUUGGAGAGGAAGCUUUAAAACACCAAAAAAAAUUCUGGUAAGCUGAAAAAAUUGUCAAAUAUUCACGUUAGUAUUUCAAAUCGAGUUAAGGUAUGGUGUUUGGAAUCUCUGUAUACACAUCUAAAUCUGUUGUCCCUUGGUCUUCUUAAGCAUAAACCAAUGAAAGAAACACAUAUAUAUUUGUAAAUAGUGAAAUUCUUUUUGUCAAAGAAAGAGAAAAAAGUAAUCUACAUCCAAUAUACGUUAUAUAAUAUAGUCAUAUAUACUUACUAUUACCUUGACAAUGCUUUUGAUUUCCCAUUUUCUGGAAGAACUAAGCUCUGAAUCAGGAGAAAACUCCAUUGGUAUCUUUAUUGUGAAUCAUGCAAAAAAGAAGAAGAGAACAUUAAGUUAAGAAGAAGAUAACAUUGAAUCGAUUACCAACAAAAAGAUAACAUUGAAUCUGGAUUUUUUUGGGAAAAAUAUAAACGUGUAUCUGUUUUCUUUUGUUACAUUCAAAACCCAAAAGAAAAAAAACAAUUCGAAGAGGAAGAUGAAACUGUGGAAAAAAAAGAGCGAAUAGAAACAAAUUAGUUGAUUGAAAGUUAUAUAUACAUACAUAAGAAUAAACAGUUUGAAACGUGCAAUGAUAUAGAAGUUAUGAUGAUAUGUCCACUUUUGGACGUGGUGAUCUG